UAGUCUGGUGCCAGCAGCCGCGGUAAUUCCAGCUCCAAUAGCGUAUACUAAUUUUGUUGCAGUUAAAAAGCUCGUAGUUGGAUUUCUUUUCUUUGUAGCUAGGACCCUUCAUCUUGAAGGUUUUCUUGCAACAAUGAAAAACAUUUGUCUCAAACCAUUCGAAUACUGUAAUGGUGUUCGGGUGUUAAGGGACUCGUUUACUUUGAGAAAAUUAGAGUGUUCAAAGCAGGCUAUAUGCCUUGAAUAUGUUAGCAUGGAAUAAUAACAUAGGACUUUAGUUCUAUUUGUUGGUUGUUCGAGAACUGGAGUAAUGAUUGAUAGGGACGGUUGGGGGCAUCUGUAUUCUCAAGCGAGAGGUGAAAUUCUUGGACCUUGGGAAGACGAACAGCUGCGAAAGCGUUUGCCUAGGACGUUCUCUUUAAUCAAGAACGAAAGUUGGGGGAUCGAAGACGAUCAGAUACCGUCGUAGUCUCAACUAUAAACUAUGCCAGCUAGGGAUCAGCGGGUCUUUUUACGAGUCCGUUGGCACCUUACGAGAAAUCAAAGCAUUUGGGUUCCGGGGGGAGUAUGGUCGCAAGGCUGAAACUUAAAGGAAUUGACGGAAGGGCACCACCAGGAGUGGAGCCUGUGGCUUAAUUUGACUCAACACGGGAAAACUUACCAGGUCCGGACAUAGUAAGGAUUGACAGAUUGAUAGCUCUUUCUUGAUUCUAUGGGUGGUGGUGCAUGGCCGUUCUU
rnacentral:rRNA from 1 species